rnacentral:lncRNA from 12 species
CUUGGGGUUUUAAGACCAAGUGUCUCCCUGCCUGCAUUGCUCUAGCCUGGUGAUUCUCUUCCUGUCCAUCGCUGUUGCUGUUUCUAUUUGCAGCGCUAUGUCAGUACCAGCCGAUGCGAGGCAGCCAGCAGCUGCCCCCGUGCGUUAGAAAUGUCCCGUAGCUCACCAUGGAGAAUCAGGACUUAAUUCGUUUACCCUGGCUCCUCUGGGCCUUACCCUGCCAACACAGCUGCAGCACAGCUCCUCCAUCUAGAAACCUGGCAGCCAUCCCAGCUGGAUGCCACCUGCCAACACUUUUCUGAAGACCAGCCAGAGGAGAAAAGAACAGGAGGGCAAGAGGCUGAGGAGGGAGGGAGGAGAAGAUGCAAAUCGAAUAGCAUUGGCCUUUAGCCCCCCUAGAUCUCAUGCUCCCAGAGUUAUGGAGAAGUAGGAUCACCCCCACAGACUGGAAUGGUGGCCUCCCAUGCAGAAGAGGGUUAACUAAUUUAGUUUUCCCAGUUGGGAUACCACAACCUUAGCAUGUGGAUUUAUCUUGAAACCAGGAAGCCUUGACAUACAUUGCCACCAAAACAAAAGAGGAAUCCCAGUUCUGUCCUAUAAUGAGACAACAAAGAAGCAUAGAUUCAGAAGACAUCUAUCCUGAUCACUGCAAAGUGCCUAAGCCUAGGCUCUGAGAAAGAACACCAACUGCCUCCAAGUUCUUCUGGAUAGUCUGUUCUACAUUUUCUUUACAUCUCCUCAAUGAAGGUUUCCAGUGCAUCUGUGUAAUGGACUGAAUAUUUAUGUGCCGCCCCACCAAAAUUCAUAUGUUGAAGCCCUAACCCCGACAUAACCAUAUUUUGAAAUAGGUUAGGGCCCUGAUCCAACAGGAUUAGUAUCCUUAAAAGAAGAAACACCAUUAGAUGCUCUCUUGCUCUCUCUCCCACUCUCUCUCUCCCUCUGUCUAGCACAUGCAAGAAAAGAUCGUGUGGACAUACAGCAAGAUGGAGGCCAUCUAUAAGCCAAGAAAAGAAGCCUCAGGAUGAAACUUACUUUGCCAGCAUCCUGAUCUAGGACUUCCAGCCUCCAGAACUGUGAGAAAGUAAAUUUCCAUUGUUUAAGCCAUCCAGCUUAUGGCAUUUUCUUAUGGCAUCCCAUACUGAGAUAAUCUUCCAGCAAUGUUUUCCCAGAAACACUGUGACAAUUGCUGGU